rnacentral:misc_RNA from 1 species
GGGUCAUCAGGACGAUGACCC